rnacentral:rRNA from 1 species
GGUUUUUUGAUUUUAAUUUAAAAUCAGGCCUGCCCGUUGAUUCAAAAAAAUUGAAAGGCUGCGGUAUUUUAACUGUACGAAGGUAGCAUAAUCAUUUGUCUUUUAAUUGAAGGCUAGUAUGAAUGGUUUGAUGAAAAAUUUUCUUUCUUUGUUUAAUUAUCUUGAAUUUAAUUUUUUAAUUAAAAAGUUGAGAUUUUUUUAUAGGACGAGAAGACCCUAUAGAAAUUUAUUUUUUAUAUAUAUUUAUUUUUUUUGUUGUUAAAAGUUUAAUUUAGAAUGAAAAAUUUUGUUGGGGUGACAGUAAAAUUUUUUUAACUUUUAUUAUUUUUUUCAUUAAUUUAUGUUUUGAUCCAAUUUUAUUGAUUAAAAGAUUAAUUUACCUUAGGGAUAACAGCGUUAUUUUUUCGGAGAGUUCUUAUCGAUGAAGAAGUUUGCGA